GCCUGGGUGGCUCAGUCGGUUGAGCGUCCGACUUCAGCUCAGGUCAUGAUCUCGUGGUUUGUGAGUUCGAGCCCCACGUCGGGCU
rnacentral:tRNA from 1 species